UACGUAGGGUGCAAGCGUUGUCCGGAAUUAUUGGGCGUAAAGAGCUCGUAGGCGGUCUGUCGCGUCUGGUGUGAAAACUCAGGGCUUAACCCUGAGCUUGCAUCGGGUACGGGCAGACUAGAGUGUGCUAGGGGAGACUGGAAUUCACGGUGUAGCAGUGAAAUGCGUAGAUAUCGUGAGGAAGACCGGUGGCGAAGGCGGAUCUCUGGACAGUUCCUGACGCUGAGGCGCGAAGGCCAGGGGAGCAAACGGG
rnacentral:rRNA from 1 species